GAUGAACGCUGGCGGCGUGCUUAACACAUGCAAGUCGAACGAUGAAGCCCAGCUUGCUGGGUGGAUUAGUGGCGAACGGGUGAGUAACACGUGAGUAACCUGCCCUUAACUCUGGGAUACGCCUGGGAAACUGGGUCUAAUACCGGAUAGGAGCGUCCACCGCAUGGUGGGUGUUUGAAAGAUUUAUCGGUUUUGGAUGGACUCGCGGCCUAUCAGCUUGUUGGUGAGGUAAUGGCUCACCAAGGCGACGACGGGUAGCCGGCCUGAGAGGGUGACCGGCCACACUGGGACUGAGAGACGGCGCAGACUCCUACGGGAGGCAGCAGUGGGGAAUAUUGCACAAUGGGCGCAAGCCUGAGGCAGCGACGCUGCGUGAGGGAUGAAGGCCUUCGGGGUGUAAACCGCUGUCAGUAGGGAAGAAGCGAAAGUGACGGUACCUGCAGAAGAAGCACCGGCUAACUACGUG
rnacentral:rRNA from 1 species